rnacentral:lncRNA from 1 species
AGAAAAUCAAAUGACAGCAGUAGGUGAGAAGUUUAGGAAACUCGUUUACUUGUAAACUAGCACCCAGAUCACACAAGCAAAACAUAUAUAUGGAGGUGUGGCCUUAUACAGGUCUCUGACAGCUGUGCCGAUUAAAGAACGUGAAUUAAUGGAAUAAAGUGAGCACUUCUGUUUAAUAUGUUAUUUUUGGCCCAAAAAGGAGCAUCAGUUUUGUGGUCAUCUUGAGAAAGGAUGUCAACCUAGUAUGAAAUAUUAUGUAUAUUUUACAGUGCACUAAUACUAGCAUUUUCCAGCCAUCUGGUAAAUUCUAUAUUUAUAUAUUCUAUAUUUAUUAAAUAUGUAAAUAAUAUAUUUAAUAAUAUAACUAUAUAAAUGUUUUUGUUUUUUUUACUGCUCCUUCUUUUUCCCCUCUAUUACUCAAUUCUCGAUCUGUGAGUAGAAUCAUCAUUUAGUGACUUUUCCCUAGUGAUCACUCAUCUAUUUUAUCAUCUACCAGUCAUCUCUUUUUUGGUUGACACCAGGGGCGGAAUUCAGACUCAAAGCAAGUGUUCAGCUGCUCGUUUGGUCAGUGAUUAGGCUACAAAUAAGUUCGAGAAUUUGACUGAUGGCCUGAUCAUCCCAUAUUCCGACCAAUUGCAGUUAAGACUAAAACACGUCUCCAAGUCUAGGUAUAGCCAAAUGUAAGCAGAAUCAAAAAUAUGAAGUAUUGCCUUGUACACACAGAUGACCGGUAUAUAGAUGAUGUUAUUAUGUUUAGACAUGCAUAAAAUUUAAAUAAUUUCACAACAAAUUAAAUUUCACUCUUUGUUAAUUGUCAUUACUUUAAAAGCAGAAACUAUAUAAUAACCUAACCAUAUUUAUUAAUUGUAAAUGAUUUCUUGGAUAUUCUAAAUUAUUUCCUGAAUAGUUAAACGUAAAGUUUGCGAGCCAGUUGUUAGUGAAUUCUACAUUUAAUUGUGGCCUUUUCUGAUCCUAUUUUCACUAUAUUGUGUUUAAGUUUCUAUCCUUGAACUUGCUGAUGUAAAAUGUUGAAUUGGAUCAUUGUGCAAGGUUGUGUUACAGUGCUUUAACAAUUUUUGGGAAAAAGAAAAUGCAGUAAUCGUCUGCAUUAUAAUUUUAAAUACCAAUUUGUGUCACUAAUUUUGUGUUAAAUAUUUAAUAGAUUUCACUUAUUUGGUAUUAAACUUUGGUGCAUUUACUAAAAUGUUUACUAAAACAAUGUUGCAUUUUUAAUAACACAUUAAAAUCAGCUUCUGCUAAACUAUACCCAGGAUCUUCAAUACAUUGAACUUUGAAGAAUUCAUUUGAAGAUAACAAUUGUUUGUUGCCAAUUAUUUGUUAUAUUAUAUUUGUAUUUUUAAUACGGUCAGUGUAUGAAAUAUGGCAAUCUAGUACAAAUGUUUAGGCAGUAUCUUUUACCGCAUUGCAUUAAAUUUUUUUUUUUUUUAAAUUAUUUCUAAAAAGUUACAGAACAUUUUAAAAUAUGCUGUUGCAUUCUUUAAAAUGAUAACAGUAGUAAGAUAUGGUUCUCAAUGAAGGAAGUCACCGCGCACUCUCGAGGUUAUCAUGCUUGUGGUGUUCCUUGAAAUACCAAAAUCCAAGCACCUUUUAACAUGUAGGUGAAAUUAAUUAUUUUCCUGGGUAGGUCGAUUAACAAUGCAAGAAAAAUAAACUGUCAUAUAUCUAUAUAUAUAUCAUUUUUUUCUUUUUUAGUUGUUAAAUAUACAUGUGGGUUACCUUGGUUAAAUACAAUAGUUUUAGUUCUUAAAACAAGUGUGACAUAAAUGGGAAUAUGUAGGAGUGUGCACACUCAAAUGUAGCAGAAAGAAAAUCUAAAAAAAAAAAAAAAAGCAUUUUACCUACACAGCAUAAGUACAUAGAUUGCUAUGGCUGGAUUAACAAACAUAAUCAACAAAAUAAAAAGUACAAUGCACAGUUUAGGUAAUCACCCACUGGUGAAACCUACAUUUAUGAGAAGAGCAUGCCAAAAUACAAAAGUAGUUGUUGAAUGUACAUGUAGGUUAAUUUGGUUAAAUACAAUAGUUCUAGUUCUUAAAAUUAGCCUCGUUUACAUGUGUGGUGAUAAUUGUGAAUAUAAUAUGAAAAGAAAAAAAAAUAUUUUUUAAUUACCAAACAUAUAUAGCAUUUUUACAUUGUGUUGUAGAUGACAGGACUUAUCAAAUAAAAGAUAAAAAAUAAAUUUUAAGAAAGAACAGUUUUUUGUAAGAAAGGAAAUCCCACUUCCUUGCCAACUCUUUUUAUACAGAACACUCUUGCUGGCAAUGUUGGCAGGUUUAAUCCAUUUACUUGGGACAGUAUCAUGUUUAUACUAGCUGAAGAAUAAACCUAAGUGGAGCUAACUGCAUAGUGAAACAAAAUAAUUGGACCCCUAAAGAACUACGUUUUGUGUUAGUAAAUAUACACCUGUGCUUUUCUCCUUACUUCUAUAGAUCUAUGUUAAAGGAACACACUGGACACAACACAAUGUGCACUUGAUUGGUUUUUGAUGAGGGUCAGGGUAUGGUCUCAUAUUCAUGCUUAUUUUCCUACCUGUUCAAACAUCUAAGGUGCAAUAUUACAACAUCCUCCGAGCCACGCUAUAUUUUUUCAAAAAAUGUCUCCCUGAUUGGAGGGUGAACAGCAUCUUAACCAAUGAGAGAUUAAUGUUAGUUGAACUGCUGACUUUGUCCCAAUGUCGGUCACUGUCCUCUUAUGGUCUGUAAAGUAUUUUGAAGUCUUAGUAAAGAAAUAGGGGUUAGAUAAGAAGUGGAGUCAUGUCAGCAGCUGAACUCUCAAUGGCUGUGUACGUUCUUAGAUAAGGACGUUGCUUUAUAAGAAGAGAGAGUAUAGCUAAGGGUGUGGGGUUACACUUCAGAAUGUUGUAAAUCUUUUAUUUCAUUGUUAGCAAAGCUAAAGAGAUUGAAUGUUACUCAAAACAAAGCUUGAAUAUGAGGCCAAAACUUGUCAAAUGCACUUAAAUUGUGUUGGAGUGUCUUUUUAGAGAUCUUUUAUUUGUGUUAACUUGCCACAAUGACACCAAGGCACUGUCAAAUAUCAAUAUCAAGUGUUGUUAGCACAAGCCUAUAAUCCUUAAAGGUGUGAAGGACAUUCUGUGAUGAAAAUGUUUCAGUUUCUUUUUUUAUUCUUUAUUUUAUAUAAUUGAUAGAAUUUCUAGAUUACCAUUCUAUGCCACAUAUGACUGUAAUAAUUGUUAUUGUGUGUUAAAUUUGAUUCUAAUAUUUUGUCUUUUCAUCCGUGUCAUAAAAGCACCAUAUACAAAUUCUGAUGUUCAUUCACAGUUUAGCCAAUGGGAAUGCAUACUAUAGGCACUAUAACUGCUUCAUCUCAUUGAAGCUGUUGAAAUGUCUGGAGUCCACUUGUGCUAUCCUUCCACUAAGCAUUAAACUGUUUUUAAAGGAACACUAUAGGAUCAGGAACACAAACAUGUAUUCCUGACCCUAUAGUGUUAAAACCACCUACUAGGCCCCCUGUUCCCCUCCUUGCCUCCCUAAAUAUAGUAAAAUCUUACUUGCAAGUCUGUAGCUGCUGGCUCUGCCUCUGAUCUACCCAUGUCUGCUGACAUCCUCAGAAGUGGUGGUCUGAGCCAAUCACAAUACUUCCCAAUUGGAUUGGCUGAGACCGUCAAGGAGGCAGAUCAGGGGCAGAGUCAGCACAAAUGAAACACAGCCCUGGCCAAUCAGCAUCUCCUCAAAGAGAUUAAUUGAAUCAAUGCAUAUCUAUGAGGAAAGUUCAGUGUCUACAUGCAGAGGGUGAAGACACACUGAAUGGCAGUGCUGCUUACUCUGCAGCACUGCCCCAGGAAGCAGUUUUAGCAGCCAUCUAAAGAGUUAUCACUAGGCUGUCAUGUAAACACAGCAUUUUCUAAAAAAACAAACAAACAAAAAAAAAACAGUGUUUACAGCAAAAAGCCUGAAGGGAACAAUUCUACUCACCAGAACAUAUAAAAUAAGCUGUAAAACAAGAUAUUACAAGCAAUCCAUCCCCUUUUUGCUGCAAGGGCUAAUGAGACAGCAUUGGCUGGAGUAGCGGUGGGUGGCUAUGAUUGGCUGAUAUUGUCAGCUUAUUGCUUUCAGCCUGUCACAGUGCCCAUUGCAGGUAUGAAUUGGUAUGGCUAAAAGGAAGUGUGUCAUCUCUGCCUUAGAUAUACCUCCAGUAGUGACGGGGUGUGGGUAGUCAGAGACCCUCAUUAAUUGUUAAAUAAUGGUUUAACAGUGAAUGGAGGGACAGUGCCAGAGGUUUUCAACCACUAUAACAAACUCAAUAAGAUGAAGUCGUUAUAAUGCCUACAGUGUCCCUUUAACUAUUGAGUUAAAUCUCUGAAUUGGUAAGUUAGCCAGUGGCACAUGGUAUUGAAGUUUUUUUUUUAUUUUUUAUUUUUAAUGGGUGUGAUAAUAAUAGAAAAUCUCAUGAUGAGAUCUAUAAUUAACAAAAAAUAAACUAAAUUAAAUGUGUAUUUCAACAUAAAAUGUGUAUGCAAAAUGUUGUUUCCAGAUAAAUUAAGUUCUUAGGGAUUUCAAAGUUGGUAUAUAAGGCAAAACUUUACUCAAACAAUUUACAGAUUAGAUAAAUUAAUGUUCAUUAUUGUUUUACUUGUUAAUUACAUACACAUAAUACCUGUGUAUAAAAAUUGAUCUAAAUGGUCUUCCAAAAUGAAUAAAAAAUUGGAUAAGAUUUGUGUGUUUUUUCUCGUUAUGCAAUUGAAUGUGCUAUAUUAUCAAGCAAUAAAAUAUGUUCUCAUUUUUUCAAAACAACGUAUUUAUGGUCAUGUUUUUAAUGUUAGCUUUGAGGACUAUACAGAUUUUUUUAGUUUAAAUUGUGUGAGACUAAGUUAGUAUUAUAGAGGCAAAAUCUGGUUUUAUUAAAUCCCCCCCAAAAUAUUUUCAGUCUCCAAUUUGUUUUUUUUGUGUGUGGAUGGAUAUAAUUUAUUGGAUUUUAUUAAACUUACUAUGUGACUAAUUCUAACUCCAUUCUUUUUUUCAGAAUUAUGUUCUCUCAGAUUUUC